rnacentral:rRNA from 1 species
UACGGAGGGGACUAGCGUUGUUCGGAAUUACUGGGCGUAAAGCGCACGUAGGCGGAUUUGUAAGUCAGGGGUGAAAGUCCCGGGGCUCAACCUCGGAACUGCCUUUGAUACUGCAAAUCUCGAGUCCGGAAGAGGUGAGUGGAAUUCCGUAGUGUAGAGGUGAAAUUCGUAGAUAUUAGGAAGAACACCAGUGGCGAAGGCGGCUCACUGGCCGGUACUGACGCUGAGGUGGCGAAAAGCG